rnacentral:rRNA from 1 species
UACACGACCGUACCGCAAACCGACACUGGUGCGCGAGAUGAGUAUUCUAAGGCGCUUGAGAGAACUCAGGAGAAGGAACUCGGCAAAUUGACGCCGUAACUUCGGAAGAAGGUGUGCCUUUAGUAGGUGAAGUCCCUCGCGGAUGGAGCCCAAUGAGGUUGCAAAAAAUCGGUGGCUGCGACUGUUUAUUAAAAACACAGCACUCUGCAAACACGAAAGUGGACGUAUAGGGUGUGACGCCUGCCCGGUGCUGGAAGAUUAAAUGAUGGGGUGCAAGCUCUUGAUUGAAGUCCCAGUAAACGGCGGCCGUAACAAUAACGGUCCUAAGGUAGCGAAAUUCCUUGUCGGGUAAGUUCCGACCUGCACGAAUGGCGUAACGAUGGCCACACUGUCUCCUCCUGAGACUCAGCGAAGUUGAAAUGUUUGUGAUGAUGCAAUCUCCCCGCGGAAAGACGGAAAGACCCCAUGAACCUUUACUGUAGCUUUGUAUUGGACUUUGAACAGAUCUGUGUAGGAUAGGUGGGAGGCUUUGAAGCAGGGUCGCUAGAUCUUGUGGAGCCAACGUUGAAAUACCACCCUGGUGUGUUUGAGGUUCUAACCUAGGCCCGUAAUCCGGGUUGGGGACAGUGCAUGGUAGGCAGUUUGACUGGGGCGGUCUCCUCCCAAAGUGUAACGGAGGAGUUCGAAGGUACGCUAGUUACGGUCGGACAUCGUGACGAUAGUGCAAUGGCAUAAGCGUGCUUAACUGCGAGACUGACAAGUCGAGCAGAUGCGAAAGCAGGACAUAGUGAUCCGGUGGUUCUGUAUGGAAGGGCCAUCGCUCAACGGAUAAAAGGUACUCUGGGGAUAACAGGCUGAUACCGCCCAAGAGUUCAUAUCGACGGCGGUGUUUGGCACCUCGAUGUCGGCUCAUCUCAUCCUGGGGCUGUAGCCGGUCCCAAGGGUAUGGCUGUUCGCCAUUUAAAGAGGUACGUGAGCUGGGUUUAAAACGUCGUGAGACAGUUUGGUCCCUAUCUUCCGUGGGCGCUGCAGAUUUGAGGAAGCCUGCUCCUAGUACGAGAGGACCGGAGUGGACGCACCUCUGGUGUAUCGGUUGUCACGCCAGUGGCAUUGCCGAGUAGCUAUGUGCGGAAGAGAUAACCGCUGAAAGCAUCUAAGCGGGAAACUCGUUUCAAGAUGAGAUCUGCCGGGGCCUUGAGCCCCCUGAAGAGUCGUUCAAGACCAGGACGUUGAUAGGUCGGGUGUGGAAGCGCAGUAAUGCGUUAAGCUAACCGAUACUAAUUGCUCGUGCGGCUUGACC